rnacentral:rRNA from 1 species
AUGACCAUGGAGCGGGAAGCCCGGGAGCGCGAAGUCAUCGCGCCCGUUCCCGCGGAAGGGUUGUCGAACCGCGAAGUGGAGCUCCGUGCUCUAGGGGAGGCGUUGGAGCUGGUAGCGUUGGAGCAGGACUUGGAGCGCGACCGGCUUGAGAUGAUGGAGCGCCAAGUGAUGACCGUUGAGGCCGCCCUGACCUCUCGGGAGGCGAAGGUUCAAACGGAGAUCGACGGGGGAAUUGCGGGGGGCCGCCAAGACCUUGCCAAGGAUUAUCGUGAGAAGCUGAAGCUUGAGGAGACCCUCUUCUACACCCGGCGCAAUGAACUGAAGGCCGAGAUCGAUGGCCUCGGGGAGUGGCUGGCCGGGGCGGACAAGUGCCAGAAGGCUGCUCUCGACGCCCAAGCCGCAGCCAAGGCCGAGCUAGCUUCCCUUUAUCAGCAAGUGGCGAAUGUCGCUUCCCUGGUGGAGCGGGCGACAGAUGAGGCGAAUCGGGCUCGGGGUAUGCAACACACGCAAUCCGUGUUGUUUCAAGACUUGGAGCACCGGGCAAAUUGUGCCCUACGCUCCAUCUGCAAGGAGAGCGUCUCCAGCCCGCUCAUGCCCGACGAUGCCGGUUACCUCGCCUUCUUUACCAGGGUCGUGGAGCGUCUUGAAGGGAGCGCAGAGAAAGUGCGCCAGCUUGUUGACGAGGAAAGCCGUGACCUCCUCGCUCGGGCGUCGACGCGUGUUUUCAGCCAUCUUCUUCGCUCAGACCCCGACUUCGACUUCCAGGCCGUGAUCGACCCCGUCCCCAGGACAAUUCACGACGCACUAGGGGAGUGGGCGGAGGACCAUGUGGAUGACCUGAUUACACGGUUCACCUCCGAUGGCCUCGAGGAUCAGCAUGGAGCCGAGGAACAUGGGGCCGCCAUCAGCGAUGAUGAUGAUGCCUCUCCUUAG